rnacentral:rRNA from 1 species
CGGGAACGUGCCUUUUGGUUCGGAACAACACAGGGAAACUUGUGCUAAUACCGGAUAAGCCCUUACGGGGAAAGAUUUAUCGCCAAAAGACCGGCCCGCGUCUGAUUAGCUAGUUGGUGGGGUAAUGGCCCACCAAGGCGACGAUCAGUAGCUGGUCUGAGAGGAUGAUCAGCCACAUUGGGACUGAGACACGGCCCAAACUCCUACGGGAGGCAG